rnacentral:rRNA from 1 species
AGGAACGCUGGCGGCUUGCUUAACACAUGCAAGUCGAACGAUGAAGCCCAGCUUGGUGGGAGGAUUGGUGGCGAAGGGGUGAAUAACACGUGAGCCACCUGCCCCUGACUCUGGGAUAAGCGCUGGAAACGGUGUCUAAUACUGGAUAUGUCCCAUCCCCGCAGGGUGUGUGGGUGGAAAGAUUUUUCGGUUGGAGAUGGUCUCGCGCCCUAUCAUCUUGUUGGAGAGGUAAGGGCUUACCAGGGCCUCCACGGGUACCCGGUCUGAGAGGGUGACCGGCCACUCUGGCACUGACACACGGCCCACACUCCUACGGGAGGCAGCAGUGGGGAAUAUUGCACAAUGGGCGGAACCCUGAUGCAACCACCCCGCGUGAGGGAUGACGGCCUUCGGGUUGUAAACCUCUUUUAGCGGGGAAAAAUCUUUUGUGACGGUCCCUGCAAAAAAAGCACCGGCUAACUACGUGCCAGCAGCCGCGGUUAUACGUAGGGUGCAAGCGUUAUCCGGAAUUAUUGGGCGUAAAGAUCUCGUACGCUGUUUGUCGCGUCUGUCGUGAAAUCCUCGCGCUCAACCUGAGGCCUGCGGUGGGUACGGGCAGACUUGAGUGCGCUAGGGGAGAUAUGAAUUCCUGGUGUAGCGGGGGAGUGCGCAGAUAUCAGGAGGAACACCGAUGGGGAAGGCAGAUCUCUGGGCCGUAACAGACGCUGAGGAGAGAAAGGGUGGGGAGCACACAGGCUUAGAUACCCUGGUAGUCCACCCCCGUAAACGUUGGGAAAUAGUUGUGGGGUCCUUUCCACGGAUUCCGUGACGCAGCUAACGCAUUAAGUUCCCCGCCUGGGGAGUACGGCCGCAAGGCUAAAACUCAAAGGAAUUGACGGGGACCCGCACAAGAGGCGGAGCGUGUGGAUUAUUUUGAUGCAACGCGAAGAACCUUUCCAAGGCUUGACAUAUUUGAGAACACCCCGGAAACAGGGGACUCUUUGGACACUCGUUUACAGGUGGUGCAUGGUGGUGGUCAGCUCGUGUCUUGAGAUGUUGGGUUAAGUCCCGCAACGAGCGCAACCCUCUUUUUAUGUUGCCAGCACGUUAUGGUGGGAAAUCAUGGGAUACAGCCGGGGUCAACUCGGAGGAAGGUGGGGAUGACGUCAAAUCAUCAUGCCCCCUAUGUCUUGGGCUUCACGCAUGCUACAAUGGCCGGUACAAUGGGCUGCGAUACCGUGAGGUGGAGCGAAUCCCAAAAAACCGGUCCCAGUUCGGAUUGUAGUAUUCAACUAGACUACAUGAAGUCGGAGUCGCUAGUAAUCGCAGAUCAGUAACGAUGCGGGAAUACGUUCCCGGGUCUG